rnacentral:rRNA from 1 species
GACGAACGCUGGCGGCGUGCUUAACACAUGCAAGUCGAACGGAAAGGCCCUGCUUUUGUGGGGUGCUCGAGUGGCGAACGGGUGAGUAACACGUGAGUAACCUGCCCUUGACUUUGGGAUAACUUCAGGAAACUGGGGCUAAUACCGGAUAGGAGCUCCUGCUGCAUGGUGGGGGUUGGAAAGUUUCGGCGGUUGGGGAUGGACUCGCGGCUUAUCAGCUUGUUGGUGGGGUAGUGGCUUACCAAGGCUUUGACGGGUAGCCGGCCUGAGAGGGUGACCGGCCACAUUGGGACUGAGGUGCGGCCCAGACGCCUACGGGAGGCAGCAGUGGGGAAUAUUGCACAAUGGGCGGAAGCCUGAUGCAGCAACGCCGCGUGCGGGAUGACGGCCUUCGGGUUGUAAACCGCUUUCGCCUGUGACGAAGCGUGAGUGACGGUAAUGGGUAAAGAAGCACCGGCUAACUACGUG